rnacentral:rRNA from 1 species
AGUUAAGCUUGUGAAGGGCAAAUGGUGGAUGCCUUGGGUAGUAGAGGCGAUGAAGGACGUACUAGACUGCGAUAAGCUAGGGGGAGCUGUCAAGAAGCUUUGAUCCCUAGAUUUCCGAAUGGGGCAACCCAAUAUGUAGCAAUACAUAUUACCUUAAAUGGAGCGAACCUAGUGAAGUGAAACAUCUCAGUAACUAGAGGAAAAGAAAUCAAACGAGAUUCUCUUAGUAGCGGCGAGCGAAAGGGGAACAGGGCAAACCAGAUGCUUGCAUCUGGGGUUGAGGACUGCAACAUCCACUGCAAUACUUUAAUAGAACAUUCUGGAAAGGAUAGCCAUAGAGGGUGAUAGUCCCGUAUAUGAAAGAGUAUUGCUAGGUAGCAGGAUCCAGAGUAGGUCAGGACACGUGAAAUCCGGGCUGAAGCUGGGGGGACCACCCUCCAACCCUAAAUACUACUACUACACCGAUAGCGAACCAGU